CCAUCUGCAUGGUCCAAAGGCAUAUCACUACCUGAGAGAUACUCUGCACAUUCACCUGCCACAUCCCAGUUCAUUGCAAAGGUAUUGUUCAUGAUGUCCACCAUAGGGAUGCUUGUGAUAGUGGUUAAAUGGCUACGUGGUUAAAUAUCUUCUUUUUAAUUAUACAAGGUGGCUGAGCUCUCUUGAUGCCAGACCUGGUCUCAAUAAAAUGAUGUUGGACAUGCUGGAAAGACGGCGUCAGGAAGAUGAGGUCAAAUACGGAUGUGUCACUCUGAUGCUGGAUGCCAUGUCUCCCUGGCUGCUCAGACUUUGAGUAACUCUGUGGCAGUGGCGCUCCGCACCUUGCAGGACGUGGGCUAUGCAGAGUUCAAAGAUUGUGAGGCUACUUCUGAAUUAAUUAAGGUAAUGCAGCUAGGAUUUGCAUCAUUGACCAAAAACAUUUCCCAACAUUCUAGGCCUACUGUUGACUUCUUACCAACAUUUGGGUGAUUAAUUG
rnacentral:lncRNA from 1 species